rnacentral:rRNA from 1 species
CCUACGGGUGGCAGCAGUGGGGAAUAUUGCUCAAUGGGGGAAACCCUGAUGCAGCGACGCCGCGUGAGGGAUGAAGGUAUUCGUUAUGUAAACUCCUAUUAGUAGGGAAGAUUAUGACGGUAUCUGACGAAUAAGCACCGGCUAACUCCGUGCCAGCAGCCGCGGUAAUACGGAGGGGGCAAGCGUUACCCGGAUUCACUGGGCGUAAAGGGUGCGUAGGCGGGGGAAUAAGUCAGAUGUGAAAUCCCGUAGCUUAACUACAGAACUGCAUUGGAAACUGUUACUCUGGAGUGUGGGAGAGGUAGGUGGAAUUCUUGGUGUAGGGGUAAAAUCCGUAGAGAUUAAGAGGAAUACUCAUGGCGAAGGCGACCUGCUGGAACAUUACUGACGCUGAUGCACGAAAUCGUGGGGAGCAAACAGGAUUAGAUACCCGAGUAGUC